UGGUCCAGUUAUUACAUUCAUCACCCGCGAGACACCGCCGCGUGUGUGCGCGCGCGUGUUCUCCGCUCCCUGCCGGCAGAACCGCGCUCGGUCCCGCUGCUCUCCGCACCGCGAGAAAAUGGUGUUAUUUAAAUGAAUCAUAAUCAAAUAGGCUCUAAACAGUUUCUAAGCAGGAGCCUCCGUGGAACUCAGCGCUCCGCUCCUCCCAGUUCCUAAGAGGUCCCGGGAUUCUUGAGCUGUGCCCAGCUGACGAGCUUUUGAAGAUGGCACAAUAACUGUCCAGUGAUGCCUGACCAUGACAGCACAGCCCUCUUAAGCCGGCAAACCAAGAGGAGAAGAGUUGACAUUGGAGUGAAAAGGACGGUAGGGACAGCAUCUGCAUUUUUUGCUAAGGCAAGAGCAACGUUUUUUAGUGCCAUGAAUCCCCAAGGUUCUGAGCAGGAUGUUGAGUAUUCAGUGGUGCAGCAUGCAGAUGGGGAAAAGUCAAACGUACUCCGCAAGCUGCUGAAGAGGGCGAACUCGUAUGAAGAUGCCAUGAUGCCUUUUCCAGGAGCAACCAUAAUUUCCCAGCUGUUGAAAAAUAACAUGAACAAAAAUGGUGGCACGGAGCCCAGUUUCCAAGCCAGCGGUCUCUCUAGUACGGGCUCCGAAGUACAUCAGGAGGAUAUAUGCAGCAACUCUUCAAGAGACAGCCCCCCAGAGUGUCUUUCCCCUUUUGGCAGGCCUACUAUGAGCCAGUUUGAUAUGGAUCGCUUAUGUGACGAGCACCUGAGAGCGAAGCGCGCUCGGGUUGAGAAUAUAAUUCGGGGGAUGAGCCAUUCCCCCAGUGUGGCAUUAAGGGGCAAUGAAAAUGAAAGAGAGAUGGCCCCGCAGUCUGUGAGUCCCCGAGAAAGUUACAGAGAAAACAAACGCAAGCAGAAACUGCCCCAGCAGCAGCAACAGAGUUUCCAGCAGCUGGUUUCAGCCCGAAAAGAACAGAAGCGAGAGGAGCGCCGACAGCUGAAGCAGCAGCUGGAGGACAUGCAGAAACAGCUGCGCCAGCUGCAGGAGAAGUUCUACCAAAUCUACGACAGCACCGAUUCUGAAAAUGAUGAAGAUGGUAACCUGUCUGAAGACAGCAUGCGCUCGGAGAUCCUGGACGCCAGGGCCCAGGACUCCGUGGGGCGGUCAGAUAACGAGAUGUGCGAGCUGGACCCGGGACAGUUCAUCGACCGAGCCCGGGCCCUGAUCAGGGAGCAGGAGCUGGCGGAAAACAAGCCGAAGCGAGAAGGCAACAACAAAGAGAGAGAUCACGGGCCAAACUCCUUACAACCCGAAGGCAAGCAUUUGGCCGAGACCUUGAAGCAGGAACUGAAUACGGCCAUGUCCCAGGUUGUGGACACGGUGGUCAAAGUCUUUGCGGCCAAACCCUCCCGCCAGGUUCCUCAGGUCUUCCCGCCUCUCCAGAUCCCCCAGGCCAGAUUCGCAGUCAACGGGGAAAACCACAAUUUCCACACCGCCAACCAGCGCCUGCAGUGCUUUGGCGACGUCAUCAUUCCGAACCCCCUGGACACCUUUGGCAACGUGCAGAUGCCCGGUUCCACAGACCAGACAGAAGCACUGCCCCUGGUGGUCCGCAAAAACUCAUCCGACCAGUCCGCCUCCGGCCCCCCGGCCGGCGGCCACCACCAGCCCCUGCACCAGUCACCUCUCUCUGCCACCGCAGGCUUCACCACGUCCACCUUCCGCCACCCCUUCCCCCUUCCUUUGAUGGCCUACCCAUUUCAGAGUCCAUUAGGUGCUCCCUCCGGCUCCUUCUCGGGAAAAGACAGAGCCUCUCCUGAAUCCUUAGACUUGACUAGGGAGACAACGAGUCUGAGGACCAAGAUGUCAUCCCACCACCUAAGCCACCACCCUUGUUCACCAGCACACCCACCCAGCACCGCAGAAGGGCUCUCCCUGUCGCUCAUCAAGUCCGAGUGUGGCGAUCUUCAAGACAUGUCCGAAAUCUCACCUUAUUCGGGAAGUGCAAUGCAGGAAGGAUUGUCACCCAAUCACUUGAAGAAAGCAAAGCUCAUGUUCUUUUAUACCCGUUAUCCCAGCUCAAAUAUGCUGAAGACCUACUUCUCCGAUGUCAAGUUCAACAGAUGCAUUACCUCUCAGCUCAUCAAGUGGUUUAGCAAUUUCCGCGAGUUUUACUACAUUCAGAUGGAGAAGUACGCGCGUCAAGCCAUCAACGAUGGAGUCACCAGUACUGAAGAGCUGUCCAUAACCAGAGACUGUGAGCUGUACAGGGCUCUGAACAUGCACUACAAUAAAGCAAAUGACUUUGAGCAGGUUCCAGAGAGAUUCCUGGAAGUUGCGCAGAUCACAUUACGAGAGUUUUUCAAUGCCAUUAUCGCAGGCAAAGAUGUUGAUCCUUCCUGGAAGAAGGCCAUAUACAAGGUCAUCUGCAAGCUGGAUAGUGAAGUCCCUGAGAUUUUCAAAUCCCCAAACUGCCUACAAGAGCUGCUUCAUGAGUAGAAAUUUCAACAACUUUUUUCGAAUGUAUGAAUCGUAGCAGUCCCCUUUGGAUGUCCAAGUUGUUCGUGUCGAGAUUUUGAUUUCACAUAUGUGUACGGGAGGCAUGGAUGUGUUAUGAAAUCAGCUGGAGGACGUUUCACAGUAAAUGGUAAAACCGCGUGGAAGAUGGUAGGAUGUAGUAAUUGUUUAAGGAAACGUUCACCCACAUGUUCCUGAAGUUUGCUUUGUGCCUCCGAGUAUUAUUUAAUUAAAGUGUUUUAUGUUUGCAGAAUCUUUGUUGCUGUGCUAGGGAUGUGGGUGAAUAUCAUUUUUAAAAAUUUUAAAAAAUGACAAAAAAAAGCAAAGCAAAAACACUAAAGCAAGAGGGGAACUUUUAUAAAGCAAUGUAAAUAUUUAACCUCAUGGCUGUUGUUACGUAAGACAUGAGAUUUUAAUAAAUAACUACAUUCUCACAACAUCUGUUGAAUUUAUUAGGAACACUAUGGUGACCGUAUAGACAGUUGAAAGCAUUCUUGAAAAUCCUGCUCUCUACUUUUAAAAGAUAACAGUCUCUUUCAUCAGAUGUCAAGGGCAAGGGUAAUGCAGUGUCUGUAAAUUUAUGAAAUUUCUUUUCUAUGUACAUGAAAACACUUAGAAAGUAACCCCCACCGCACACGCACACACACACACACACACACACACACACACACACACAGGUUAAUACUAAGUCAUAAAGCUAAAGAUUUGGGGGCUUUAAUGUCCCUCAGAAGCAAUCAUAAAUUCAUCAAAGAAGUGGUUUACAGACUCCCUGAAAGCAGUGUACAUGUGAGGACGGAGCAAAAUCUCUUUGCCAUGUAUAUUAUAGAAUAUUCAUUGGUGUGAAUAGUACACAUGUUUCCUUCUGGUACAAAAUUCUGUGUUUGCAAAUUACAAGAAGCAUUGUUUUCAAAAAGCUCCCCUUAAAAGAGAAUGUAACUGGUUUAUAUGAGUAAGCAGUUACUGUAUUGCACUUAAAUGUUAUGUUGAAGGAAAUGCAGUUUUGUUUUCUGUCGAUCUGUUGGUUGUAAACCAUCUUACAAAACUAAAGCUAAAAUAUUCAUAUUCAGAGCUGGGAUCAAAACUGCAUUUAACCUUUGCAUCUUCUUAUAAUUAUCCUUGUAAGACUACAACAGGAUCUGGAAGCGUCUGGACUUUGAGUUAUUCAACUGAGCCCUCUCUCAAAUCGGAUACCCGCUAAAAUGCACAAACAUGAGCAGAAAAGGCAAACAGACUGGCCCUCUUUUGUGAAAAUGCAUCAUUCUGUAUUUUCAAAAUAUUCAAAUCCUCCACAUGGGAGGAAAAGGCAUUUGAAAAUUGCAUAUUACCACUUCAAAAUUAGAACAACAAAUGUAUUUGGGGUUGGUCUCAGAGCUACCUAGAAGAAUCCAAGGUCAUAGAUUCUCCCAAUGUCGCCCCAGCCAUUUCUCAUAUGUAUAUAGUAUAAACCGUGACAAAACACUGCCUUUCUAUUAUUUAGCAAUAUGUUGUAAAUAGCAUUAUUGAGCUCUUUUUUUUGUAAUAAAGACCCUUUGAUUUGAAUAUAGUACAAUAACUGAACUGAUAAAGUCAAUUUUUGAUUUUUUUUUUAGCUAGAGGCAAUUUCAAUUGUGGAUUUUUGUUGUUGUCUAUUGUUCUGAAGACUUUGCAUAAUUUAUUGGUUUAAUUUAUCCUAAUUUAUUUGAUGAAGGUGUACAAUUUUGUAUUACCAAGGAUGUACUGUAAUAUUAAUUGAUAUGAUAAAAAAUGAGACUCCCUGUCCAUAUUAAAAAGAAAAUAAAAAGGUGCAGUAGACAAUUGAUUUUAAAGUAAAAGUACAAAAAUUUAGUUUGGCAGCUACUAAAUUUUAAAACAGAAAAAAGUUGUUGGGGGGUGGGCGGGUAGCGGGUUUUACUUUGUGUGUUUUAAGCUUUUGUAUACUCUCCAAACUUUUACCUUUUGCUUUGUACCACUUAAAGGAUACAGUAGUCCAACUGCCUUGUGUGCCUUUCACCUUCUCUUAAACUGAAUGUAUGUGCAGUAUAUAUGCAAGCUUGUGCAAAAUAAAAUAUACAUUACAAGCUCA